rnacentral:tmRNA from 24 species
GGGGCUGUAAUGGUUUCGACGUGUUGGUGAAUCCUUCACCGUGAUUCAGGCCGAGAGGGAGUCCACUCUCGUAAAUCCAGGCUCAACCAAAAGUAACUGCGAACAACAUCGUUCCUUUCGCUCGUAAGGCUGCUCCUGUAGCUGCUUAAACGCCACAAACUUUCUGGCUCGAGCGUCUAGUCGUAGACUCCGUUAAUACGCCUAGACUUAAACCCCCAACGGAUGCUCGAGUGGCGGCCUCAGGUCCGUCCUCUCGCUAAGCAAAAACCUGAGCAUCCCGCCAACGGGGAUAAUCGUUGGCUCCCGCACAGUGGGUCAACCGUGCUAAGCCUGUGAACGAGCGGAAAGUUACUAGUCAAUGCGGACAGCGGUUCGAUUCCGCUCAGCUCCAUUU